rnacentral:rRNA from 1 species
UACAGAGGUCUCAAGCGUUGUUCGGAUUCAUUGGGCGUAAAGGGUGCGUAGGUGGCGUCGUAAGUCAGGUGUGAAAUCUCGGAGCUUAACUCCGAAACUGCAUUUGAUACUGCGGUGCUUGAGGACUGGAGAGGAGACUGGAAUUUACGGUGUAGCAGUGAAAUGCGUAGAGAUCGUAAGGAAGACCAGUGGCGAAGGCGGGUCUCUGGACAGUUCCUGACACUGAGGCACGAAGGCCAGGGGAGCAAACGGG